rnacentral:snoRNA from 1 species
UGAGGAAGAUGACGAGAAAAAUGCUGUGCACCAGUCUGAGAGAGCCAAACGUACUCAGGUUCUAAUGAAAGACCAAGUAUACCCAAAUUUCUGAUUCCUCA